GUGUUGGCGUCUAGCAGGCUUUGCGGGAUGCAUCUCGAUCCUUCGUUGGCUUCUUUUCUAGGGAGGCGUCGACGGAGCUAUCGGCGUAUCUCGUCGUGCGAUGGGACGACGCAUGAGUGGCGAUUAGGAUAUGCUUCCCGCGCAGGCUCCGUGUAUCUUGCACCGAACUGCUUGGGUCUAUCCACUUCAUCCGUGGGUUUGCGUCGGCGGCUUUCAUGGUCGGUCGCGACUGCUCGUUGGGUUCCUGUGCUCGAAAUUUCAUUCGGUAGUCGGAUGGAUUGUUGUCCCCGUCGUGGUUUAUCGAUUCUCCCACGCCUCCCUCGCGGAGACGGUGGGAUAUUGUGCGGGCAUCGACGCUUUCCUCUGGAGCGGUUGUCACCCCCUAUUAGGGCGCUGCCGCUUGUGAUGGCGCGUAGAUGCUGCCGGCACUCUCGGGUACGGAGAGUUUCUGGUUUCGCAUAGGCAUUCGACCUCCGCGAACGUAACGCAUCGAAGCAUCCUCGCUUCCGCAUGUAAGACCCUCUUGCUCGCCCCGAGGGCUCACCGGGCCUGCUCGCUCGGUGUUCUUCUCGGGGAGCCGUCGAGGUCUACAAAGGAAUGC
rnacentral:misc_RNA from 1 species